CGCGUUUUCUGCAAGUAAUUGUAUAUUAUAUUUAAUAAAAACACAAUAAAGUUAAGUUUCAAUGCUGGAAAUGGAAUCAUGAAAAAAGCUACGUGGAAUACACUCCACCCUCGACUUAUUUGGAGUGACUUGUGUAGAGUGAUUAAAACUAACAAUAACCGAAACUUUGUGCAAUAGGAAACACAUCGAUAUAUGACAUAAAUUUAAAAAGAUCAAUGAAUCGAUGUUUCGUCCACCAAUAACAAGCGCUCUUCGUAGGAUUCGGUUUCCAGGAAUGAGCAGAUGUGUUUUUUAUACCCUUGUCUUAACUAAUGCUAGUUAUAAUUGCUUAUGUGUAGCCGUGGAAAGAAAUUCAUACAUAGAUAUUUACGUGCAUUGCAAUUUACUUAUUAGAAAACAAAAUGCGACAUUUUCUAAUGUCUUUUCUUAUUAUUAUGGCACUCACUACGAUUUUCUACAUAUUGAGUGAACGUCCACAUCGGGACUCCAUAGAAUCAUUCAAAUCCGACACUGGACACAGCGAAAUUAACUUAGCCGGGCCACGGAGUCGGACUACCCUUCGUGUUCUCUGGUCCCUGCCUUUAGCCUGGGGUGGCAUAGCGCUCUUGGAACGGACUCGUAUCGCCGUACAGAAUUUAAUUUCUUAAUUUUUUUCGGCACAAUUUAAAUUUAAUUUGCAUUUUUUUUUGGGCAUUACACAAUGUUAAUUUUUAAUUAUUAUAAAAAUUUUAACUCCCUGUACCUUACAUGUAAGAGUUGUUCACCAUUGCUGCCCAUCUGCACAGCUACACUCUAGAGUCAACGGCCCAGUUGUACGCCAAGGGCAUUAGCAAGGGCAUCCGAUCCGCUCUCCUUCCAAUUUCUCUACGACUGAAUCGGUUGCCCAAUCAUGACCCCUUCAGGGCAGUGGGUCGUAAUUCGGGCGUUGCCACCCUCCAGUUAAUUGGGGCUUACUGUGCGCUCGAUUUUAUCCGAUACCCGAUACCCAGCCCAUGAGGUGAAAAGAUAUUUACGGGGCCGACAAUAUUGGACGCAACCAAUUAAGCAAACUAUCGAUGUCGCCAAUAAUGUCAAAUGCAACAUCACCAAGCAGAUUAAAGUAAACGUGAGCGCGACCGCUACAAAGUAUCUCCGUGCGCAUUUCAUAGCUUGACCCAGGCGGCUAAUACGGAUGCCCAUCUUGCGCCGAGAAAGGAAUAAGAGGAAAAUUAAAGAAGAGAGCAAAGAGAGUAAUUGCCUAAAAUACCUAAAAAUUCCUUCAAGCAUAACAUAAAAGAGAGCGUGAGAGGGAGAAGAGUGCAAAGAAGUUGCCAAAAAUUCCUUCAAACAACAGGCAAACACGGUCAAGCGAAACAGAGCGAGAGAGACGAAAAAUUUCUAAUGCAUGAAUCCGGGGCGCAGCUUCAAUCGUGAUGUCCCGUUAAUGGAGCACAAAACAGUUACACCAUGCCAUAACCUCAAAAAUUGAUUCGAAAAUUGUUAAAAUGAGUUUUUUAUCCACUUUUAAAUCGCAGCUGGCAGCGUUUGUCCUCUGAUUACAUGUCAUUAACUUUCCCAUGUACAUAUGCCAUCCAAUACCAGCUGUGUGUAUCGUUUAAUAUGUACUUUGCUUGCAGUCGAGUUUCGCAGUUGCUUUUUCGAAAGCUGCUGCCUGGUGAGCUUUUCCGACAUCGAGACGUAACGGGACGUAACGCCGGCCUCUCAUCAUUCAAACAAAUAAUUUAAAUGGAGCAAAACGUUAUACGUGUUGUGCCCAAUUAGCGCACAAGAGCAGAAUACGAAAAUUGAAAUGGAAAACGCGGCAAACCAGUUGCUCGCGACACGUGUGAGUCGCCCAGUUGGCUUGCCAAGUCAAAGUUAAUUAUCAAAAGCGUUGCUUUCGAUAGAUCGAUAACACAACAAAAAAAUUGCGCUCAAUUGUGCACAUCACAUCAAGUGAAAAAAACGCAUUCUAGGAGAGUCAGCCUGAAGAUAAGGCGGAAAGGUGAGACGCGCGCGAUCGCCGGGCCAGGUCGGGCGCGACUUCUUCCAGGCAGAGCCCCAGUUUGUGACCCCCGCUAUUGACCUAUUUCCAUGCUCUGUUAUUUUUGAUGAGCUUGUCCCUAGACGAAACUAGGCAAGACUUGGAGCCAAUCGGAGCCAAAGUUUUCUUUUUCCUCAUUUUUUUCCAUUCCAUCCCUUUUUGCCGAAAGCCUGCCGCGAUUUCAAAGCCCUCCAAGCAAUUGUCCAAAUUAAACUUGAUUCUUUUCUGCAAACUGUGCUCCCUACUGGUCCUUUACACCUGCUGACUCCCUCUGCCUGGGGCCUAGAUAUGCAUGCCUUACCAGACAAUCCAAAUCUACAUAAAAUAUAGGAAACAAACCAUUAACAAACUGAAUAUAUGACUGAAAGGUGCUGCUCUUAUAAAGUUCAAGAAAUUUUGCCAUAUUCUCGCAAGAAUUCCGCUGUUAAAUACUGUAAUUUACCAUAAAAUGCCAGCGAAGAUUUCUGACGAUUUUUUGUCAAGCGGCGUUACCAUGAGGAUGAGAAGCGUUGUUGAACGCCAAGAGGCGUUGCCGUAUAUUCAUGAACAAUUUCUUGAACCAACUCUGCCUCCAAAAAGCGUUGCCAGAUUCAAGAGAAGAUACCCCCAACUGUUUACUAAUUAUUCGAAUUUCUAUUUACAGCACUUUUAACUGUUCACAGUUUCUGCUCAAUACCGUUCCGUUUCGUUCCGCUCUCACGUUUCGGUGACGCGCACUUCCUCAAUUCCGACCUGCAUCCGGUAGUAUUGUGCCUUGGUCUCCUUGCUCCAGCUGUGGCAUUUUCGCACGUAGUCCCUGACUUGCAUAGCCUUGUUGGGUCAAUAGAAUCGCCGGCGCGUACGUGCAGCGUUUUCCUUAUGCCUCUAUGAGCUGAGGCCUUGUCCGCGUGUGCUUGUUGGAUAAAAUCUGCAGCGAUCAGCGACUACCGCACCCAGAGCUUUCAACUCGUGCUUUCGACUUCGUCUUUAAUGCUCUCAUGCACAUUCCUCUUGAAAAGUAGACCUUUUCCGUUGUUCAUCAACUCCUUUACCAGCUCUUGGUACUCGGUGCUCUCGAACUCCAGGUUAUGAUAUGCCAACAGAUCCUCCUCUUCUACGCUUCUAGACAAUGUGUUGACUCCCUUGCGUUACAGCACGGAAAAAGGGAACGCUUACAGUUCUAGAGACUACUUGUUUUCGCGCCCAGUCUUAUAAAUUCAUAAGCCUUUGCAGGCUCGCGUGAUCGGUAAUUACCGUGAACGGCAUCAUCUCCAUGUACAGUCGGAAUGGAUGUAUGGCCAGUUUAGCGGCUAGGCAUUCUUUCUCGGUCACCAAAUAGUUAAUCUGGUACUUGCGAUCAUCCUCGCUAAAAUAAAAUGCAUCUCGUCGAUGCGCGACAAGCCCAUGCAUCGAUGCAUGGAAGCGGGUAAGCGGGUAAUUUCCUGGCGUCUAAACAAACCCUGUACUUGCCAGGCUUCAUCACCACCGUCGUCCGGCUGUUGUCUCGGUUAAAAGCCAUCUUUGGGCUCGCUACCGUUACCUCAGAUGCCUCUGGAGGCGCUUCGGGCCUAAUGGCCGGGCCGAGCAACUCGGAGGCAAUCACGAAGGCUCGCCAAAAUUCGAUUUCCAGGCAAAACAACGCUGCCUAAAAUUGGACGAUUGGCACCCGGCGCUGUCCUUAGAUCGAUGCGUAUGGCUGCGCUAGCUCAAGGCAUCCUCGUCCCAGCAGAUACAUUUCUGGAGUCAAUUUUAUCCCGGCGAUCUCCACACCGCCGAAUACCCGUGGGUCUAUGCCAUCCUCUCGUCUCACCGCUUCACUGACCUGACGUCUCUUCAUCCUGCGUGUGCGGAAGCGCGCACGAGCUUUCACCAUAUGCGGAAUGUGGAAUCGCUCGGCGAGUUGACGUAGAUGGUGGAUGUGGUCAUCCACUCGUUGGCUGGUCUGUAGCUCCUGCAUCACAACAUGCUCCGUCUGAUAUCCCCGGAACCUGUCUUAGAGAGCGUGCCGCAGUUACAUAUAGCUGUCAAUCCUAGAAUACCGCUUGUGCAUCCAAUACCACUCGCGGGCACGGUCGGUCAAAACAGCGCAGGACUUCCUUCCACGGACAUUGAUUUUGCCUUUGCAGGAGCUCCAGUCAAAACACAAAGUCCUCGACAGAAUUCAUUGCGACCUCGCCAUCGAACUUGACGUUCCACCGCUUGAGGUUCAGGUACGCUGUUUCUCGUACUUUGGCAUACAUUUCAUCCACUCUCCGGUUCUCGACUCGUAAAUGGCGAUUAUUCGGAUUAUGCCAGUUCCUCGCUUGAGCAUAUGCAACUUACACUGGGCUGCUGGAUGAGUACUCCGCUCCUCGCCCGCCUUGUCUGUGUGGCUUUAGUGGCAUGAAACCGAUUCGCCCUUCCUCGUGGAUGGACUCAUUGGUGAGCUUGAGCUAUUGCCGCGUUUGCUGCCGACGUAAGAACGGAGACCUUAGUUGCUCUUUGGGAACUCCAGAUUCCUUGGAGGAAUAUUUUGUUGCACCAAUUGCUUCUCUAAGUCUACCAGAUGACCCUCCGCCGGGAUCUGCCGCUCAGCAAACCCUCGAAAUUUUAUUGGCGUUCUCACUAUACCCCCUACCAAAAUCGAUGGGGACAGUGGUGAUCCCACAUUCCGUCAACGUCGGCAACCCAGUCCUGUUCCUGGUCCUCCGGUGUUCAAAUCUAUAUCGUCCUGGGUCACCUGGCUCCGAAAUUUAUAUAACUACGGGCAGCACACACCAAACGUAAACUCAAAAUUAGACAAAACAAAUAGUAAACCUUAUGUAAGCUCUAAUAACGAUAUAUCACAAUUUAUCGCAAUUUAUUUUGUCAUGGCGGCUAUCACCAGGCAACAUGCGAACGUGUCAUACUGCCAUCAACUGCGACAAGACAACUCCCCAUGUUAAUGGACACAAUGGCAAAAUCCGUCUCUGUCGCUGUUCUGGCCAUUUAUGCAGAGUGACAGAUGCAGCGCAGGCUCGAUUCUACAAUCGUCCUGGGUAACCUGUUUUCGAAAUUCUUCUAACAACGGUCAGCAUACAUACAAUAUUAACGCAGAACGAGACAAUGAAAACAAAUAAACAAAAACAAAUAUACAAAUAAAUAAACAAAUAUCGCUGCGCUAUAAUGGGCCACCAACGCGUUCUGCAUAAGACAUCAGUGGUGUGGAUCCUAAAGCCAAGGAACAACUUUUUUCUGUACCUGUACAGAUAUUUUUAUUUAUCUUCUUUGAUUUACACACUGACUUCAAGAAAACUAGGUGCUUCUUCAAAAAACUGCUUGUUUCUCGGUGGGCCGCGCCGACUGGCUCAUCGGUUCUCUGUCCUAUCCCGCAGUCCGCAUAAUCGAUAUCAACAAAGGUACAAUUUCCGUAGAAAAUCAGACCUACACAACACUGUUCAAAACAAACCACAAAAUCGAUAACAUCAAACAGCAAGAACCAAGAUCAGGUCCCGGUUUCGUACCUAGCGUACACGACCUACUUGAGACGAUCUUCUGAUCUUGUCUCCUUCAUUUCGGCCACUAGAAUGCCUGCAUCAACAUAUGUCGGCUGUCAUGCCACCUUUCCCCAUCAAUGAACAGUUACCAAGAGAUUUCUGUCUCCGGAAACGGAUAUCUGCAAUCUGCUAUUUCUCAUUUUUUACAAGCAGAACACCAGAGGAAAAGACGUCAUCGAAAGCUAUGGCCAUUUGCCGCCGAUAACAGCGUUAAAGAAUGAAUUUAUAAAUAUUAAAUUGAGCAAUUGGUUCCCCAAACAUCCCGGAUAGUGUGUUCCUAUCGUUGUUGUGCUAGAGCGAGAUUCCCCUGGCACUGGCCGUAACCUUUGGGUCUUCCUUUCGGCGCAAUAUAUGUAUAUCCUGUUUUUUUUUUUAUUUUACAUAUAUAAUUAAGCAAAAUGCAAAAGUAAAGUCAUCUUAUUAUAAACAUAUAUAUAAAUAGUGAUAGAAUUUUGAACCACUGUUAUUCAUAAGCAGCGUUGCAUGGUACUGUAUGUUUACAAAUUUAAAAAUAAUAAUAGCAUGCCUUCUGCAGCCGACUUAAAAUAAUGCUAACAGCAUCGAAAAUCAUAUGAGUAGGAUAAGCAGCAAGAGGUUUUAGUCCACCAGACAAAAUAUAAUAGUUUCCCCGGAACGGCUCGAACUCACGACAGAACGCACGACUCGCUAUGCCUCUACGAAUAAUUAAGUACCUAUGAGUAAAAAACAACCUUAAAUAGCAUUGCAGAAAAAAUAAGUAAUUACCAUGCUGUUAGAAUGCCAAGCAGGCGCGCAUGAAUGUAUUUGCUAGCUGCCCCAUAAAAUUGCGCAGUUACACAUAACUUUGGUUUUUAUAAACCGAUCCUUAUGACAUUUUGUACAGUCUAUCUUAAUGUACCAUACAUAAUUUGUAUAUUCUCUAAAAGUCAAUUUUAUAUCACUCGCAAGACACGACUUAUCAACUAUUUCGAAAUUAAGACAAGGAGCACAAAUGAAGAAAAUUAUUAUAAUAACCAUAAUAAAAACCCAAAUACUAACAAUAUUGCACGAAAUACCUUACCUCAAUUUACCCCAAAUUACAUGACUAACAGUAAUCAAAAACCACAAUUUUUCACAACAUACUCUGAACAAGCAAACCUAUUUUAACCAAAAUAAGCAACUAGCUCAAAAUUCAAACAGAAUUUAAAACACAAAUAAUUAACCCCAUAAAUCAAAAUAUUUCUCCGGGUAGAUAUAUACCAAAUCAAUCGUACAAGCGUAUACGAGAAAAUACUAGUGGUUCCCAAAAAAUUAUGAUUGAUAACAAUUAUCAACAAUCAAACAACUAUCAGGGUAAUUACGUACAAGAAGAGUAUGGAUUUCAGAACAACCAACAUGAGGAGGUUCAAAAUAACGAAAUUAAAGACGGAAAUUUUCUAAUUGAAGCCUCGAGACAUGCCAGUAGAUAGAAAUUACAUUUAAUAAUAAACAAUACAGAUGUCUCAUUAUAUACCAGCUUAUGCAAGACCUACUUUGAUUAGAACUAUGACAAAACUAAAUCAUUAUGUAUCCACUGCACCUAAUAAACUCUUUAAGCAAGA